CUUUACUUGGCGACUGCAAUGAAUCCAGAGAGCUGCUCUUUACUCGAUAACCAAGCAGUUCUUUGGAUUCCUUACAGUAGCCUAGUAAAG
rnacentral:pre_miRNA from 1 species